rnacentral:tRNA from 1 species
GGGCCUAUAGCUCAGCUGGUUAGAGCGCACGCCUGAUAAGCGUGAGGUCGAUGGUUCGAGUCCAUUUAGCCCA